rnacentral:tRNA from 1 species
GGUGUAGCCGAGAGGCUGAAGGCGCUCCCCUGCUAAAGAGGGGUAUGCGGUCAAAGCUGCAUCCGGGGUUCGAAUCCCCGCCUCACCGCCA